rnacentral:rRNA from 1 species
GAUGAACGCUGGCGGCGUGCCUAAUACAUGCAAGUCGAGCGAACAGACGAGGAGCUUGCUCCUCUGACGUUAGCGUCGGACGGGUGAGUAACACGUGGAUAACCUACCUAUAAGACUGGGAUAACUUCGUGAAACCGGAGCUAAUACCGGAUAAUAUAUUGAACCGCAUGGUUCAAUAGUGAAAGACGGUUUUGCUGUCACUUAUAGAUGGAUCCGCGCCGCAUUAGCUAGUUGGUAAGGUAACGGCUUACCAAGGCAACGAUGCGUAGCCGACCUGAGAGGGUGAUCGGCCACACUGGAACUGAGACACGGUCCAGACUCCUACGGGAGGCAGCAGUAGGGAAUCUUCCGCAAUGGGCGAAAGCCUGACGGAGCAACGCCGCGUGAGUGAUGAAGGUCUUCGGAUCGUAAAACUCUGUUAUUAGGGAAGAACAAAUGUGUAAGUAACUAUGCACGUCUUGACGGUACCUAAUCAGAAAGCCACGGCUAACUACGUG